UUUCCACAAGACAACAAUUGUUGCUUAGAAACAGCCAAUAAUUUGGACAAAGACUGUGAAGAUCUAAAAGACUACCAUUGCUUUUCCAGUUCCUGCCAAGGAAUUGCCACCUUGUGAAUACCCCAGGACCAAGGGGCUUCCUGAGUAGUGCCCUCCUAGGCAGUGAGGGCUGACCUGUGAAACUGCCACUAAUUCCUGUGGAGGGAACCUCUGCCAACAUGAGGGUACCUGCCAUAAAGACACUGAGCACCCUCUCUGUAUCUGUCCU
rnacentral:lncRNA from 1 species